GCAUAUCAUAAGCGGAGGAAAAAGAAACCCAACAGGGAUUGCCCUAGUAACGGCGAGUGAAGCGGCAAGAGCUCAAAUUUGAAAUCUGGCUCCUCCGGGGUCCGAGUUGUAAUUUGCAGAGGAUGCUUCGGGUGCGGUCCCCGUCUAAGUGCCCUGGAACGGGCCGUCAUAGAGGGUGAGAAUCCCGUCUGGGAUGGGCGGCCGUGCCCGUGUGAAGCUCCUUCGACGAGUCGAGUUGUUUGGGAAUGCAGCUCUAAAUGGGUGGUAAAUUUCAUCUAAAGCUAAAUAUUGGCCGGAGACCGAUAGCGCACAAGUAGAGUGAUCGAAAGAUGAAAAGCACUUUGAAAAGAGAGUUAAACAGCACGUGAAAUUGUUGAAAGGGAAGCGCUUGCGACCAGACUCGCCUGCGGGGGUUCAGCCGGUACUCGUACCGGUGUACUCCCCCGUGGGCGGGCCAGCGUCGGUUUGGGCGGCCGGUCAAAGGCCCCCGGAAUGUGUCACCUCUCGGGGUGUCUUAUAGCCGGGGGUGCAAUGCGGCCAGCCUGGACCGAGGAACGCGCUUCGGCACGGACGCUGGCGUAAUGGUCGUAAGCGGCCCGUCUUGAAACACGGACCAAGGAGUCUAACAUCUACGCGAGUGUUCGGGUGUCAAACCCGUCCGCGCAGUGAAAGCGAACGGAGGUGGGAGCCUUUCGGGGUGCACCAUCGACCGAUCCUGAUGUCUUCGGAUGGAUUUGAGUAAGAGCGUAGCUGUUGGGACCCGAAAGAUGGUGAACUAUGCCUGAAUAGGGCGAAGCCAGAGGAAACUCUGGUGGAGGCUCGCAGCGGUUCUGACGUGCAAAUCGAUCGUCAAAUUUGGGUAUAGGGGCGAAAGACUAAUCGAACCAUCUGGUAGCUGGUCUGCGAG
rnacentral:rRNA from 1 species